UGGGGAAUAUUGGACAAUGGGCGAAAGCCUGAUCCAGCCAUGCCGCGUGUGUGAAGAAGGUCUUCGGAUUGUAAAGCACUUUAAGUUGGGAGGAAGGGCCAUUACCUAAUACGUGAUGGUUUUGACGUUACCGACAGAAUAAGCACCGGCUAACUCUGUGCCAGCAGCCGCGGUAAUACAGAGGGUGCAAGCGUUAAUCGGAAUUACUGGGCGUAAAGCGCGCGUAGGUGGUUUGUUAAGUUGGAUGUGAAAUCCCCGGGCUCAACCUGGGAACUGCAUUCAAAACUGACUGACUAGAGUAUGGUAGAGGGUGGUGGAAUUUCCUGUGUAGCGGUGAAAUGCGUAGAUAUAGGAAGGAACACCAGUGGCGAAGGCGACCACCUGGACUGAUACUGACACUGAGGUGCGAAAGCGUGGGGAGCAAACAGGAUUAGAUACCCAAGUAGUCCCUGAGCGGGCUGGCAAGGCGCAU
rnacentral:rRNA from 1 species